rnacentral:rRNA from 1 species
AUACGGAGGGUGCAAGCGUUACUCGGAAUCACUGGGCGUAAAGCGCGCGCAGGCGGCUAUUUAAGUUGGAUGUGAAAGCCUACGGCUCAACCGUAGAACUGCAUCCAAAACUAUUUAGCUAGAGUGUGGGAGAGGAAGAUGGAAUUAGUUGUGUAGGGGUAAAAUCCGUAGAGAUAACUAGGAAUACCAAAAGCGAAGGCAAUCUUCUGGGACACUACUGACGCUGAGGCGCGAAAGCGUGGGGAGCAAACAGGAUUAGAAACCCUAGUAGUCC